rnacentral:lncRNA from 1 species
CCAGAUCUUCAUCCCGUUGGAAGCUCUGGUUUAUCUGCAGAAUAUGGAUGAAACUCUUUUUUCAGACCUGUCCGAGGAAUACUGGAGAUGUCACAUGGAACAACUAUGAACUGUGGAGUACUGCAUAGUGAUUCUGAGGCCUGAAAUGGAAAUUUCCUGGACUGAGCCUUAUCAUCCUUCAAAAGGCCACAGCUUUCCCUUCUGCACUGCCCUCUCAUCUCUCCCA